rnacentral:misc_RNA from 2 species
UCAACCCUCAAGCCUGGCUUGUUGUUGGACCCGGGACCCUUGUCAGGGUCAACCGGUCUCAAAGACAAUGACGGCGUCCGUGAGACCCUCGGUACAAUGAGCUUUCUGAGCACGUACCGCAGCGGGCUGGCGGACCCGGUCCUCCUUUUUUAAUUUCGUAA